CCCAUCUUCAGAAGAUGAAACUGACCUUACUCACAGCUUUUAUUCCCCAUUCUCUAGGGGGCACUUCUAAGCUGACACAAAAAAGCUUCCUGUGCUGGGGAUGAAGAUGGAGUGAGCUGCAGCUGGAAGGGAGGAGAUGGUGAGGAAGGAGUAGAUGCUUAUGGAGCAGAGAAGCAAAGAAGCCACGAAUUCAAGGUGCGGCACCAGAAAUCACAGCAGAGAAGGAGCGGGUCUGCAGAGCGGGAGGCCCUGAGCCCGCAUGGACCUGCCUCCUAGAGACGUGAAUCAGUGGAGUCAGCGCAGUGUUAAGGGGAG